AGAGUUUGAUCAUGGCUCAGAUUGAACGCUGGCGGCAGGCUUAACACAUGCAAGUCGAACGGUAACAGGAGAAAGCUUGCUUUCUUGCUGACGAGUGGCGGACGGGUGAGUAAUGCUUGGGAAUCUGGCUUAUGGAGGGGGAUAACUACGGGAAACUGUAGCUAAUACCGCGUAAUAUCUUCGGAUUAAAGGGUGGGACUUUCGGGCCACCUGCCAUAAGAUGAGCCCAAGUGGGAUUAGGUAGUUGGUGGGGUAAAGGCCUACCAAGCCGACGAUCUCUAGCUGGUCUGAGAGGAUGACCAGCCACACUGGAACUGAGACACGGUCCAGACUCCUACGGGAGGCAGCAGUGGGGAAUAUUGCACAAUGGGGGGAACCCUGAUGCAGCCAUGCCGCGUGAAUGAAGAAGGCCUUCGGGUUGUAAAGUUCUUUCGGUGAUGAGGAAGGUGUUUGUUUUAAUAGAACAAGCAAUUGACGUUAGUCACAGAAGAAGCACCGGCUAACUCCGUGCCAGCAGCCGCGGUAAUACGGAGGGUGCGAGCGUUAAUCGGAAUGACUGGGCGUAAAGGGCACGCAGGCGGUGACUUAAGUGAGAUGUGAAAGCCCCGAGCUUAACUUGGGAAUUGCAUUUCAUACUGGGUCGCUAGAGUAUUUUAGGGAGGGGUAGAAUUCCACGUGUAGCGGUGAAAUGCGUAGAGAUGUGGAGGAAUACCGAAGGCGAAGGCAGCCCCUUGGGAAUAUACUGACGCUCAUGUGCGAAAGCGUGGGGAGCAAACAGGAUUAGAUACCCUGGUAGUCCACGCUGUAAACGCUGUCUGAUUUGGGGAUUGGGCUUAGAGCUUGGUGCCCGUAGCUAACGUGAUAAAUCGACCGCCUGGGGAGUAC
rnacentral:rRNA from 1 species